AGAGUUUGAUCCUGGCUCAGAUUGAACGCUGGCGGCAUGCCUUACACAUGCAAGUCGAACGGUAACAGGUCUUCGGAUGCUGACGAGUGGCGAACGGGUGAGUAAUACAUCGGAACGUGCCCGAUCGUGGGGGAUAACGAAGCGAAAGCUUUGCUAAUACCGCAUAAGAUCUACGGAUGAAAGCAGGGGACCGCAAGGCCUUGCGCGAACGGAGCGGCCGAUGGCAGAUUAGGUAGUUGGUGGGAUAAAAGCUUACCAAGCCGACGAUCUGUAGCUGGUCUGAGAGGACGACCAGCCACACUGGGACUGAGACGCGGCCCAGACUCCUACGGGAGGCAGCAGUGGGGAAUUUUGGACAAUGGGCGAAAGCCUGAUCCAGCCAUGCCGCGUGCAGGAUGAAGGCCUUCGGGUUGUAAACUGCUUUUGUACGGAACGAAAAGACUCUGGUUAAUACCUGGGGUCCAUGACGGUACCGUAAGAAUAAGCACCGGCUAACUACGUGCCAGCAGCCGCGGUAAUACGUAGGGUGCAAGCGUUAAUCGGAAUUACUGGGCGUAAAGCGUGCGCAGGCGGUUAUAUAAGACAGAUGUGAAAUCCCCGGGCUCAACCUGGGAACUGCAUUUGUGACUGUAUAGCUAGAGUACGGCAGAGGGGGAUGGAAUUCCGCGUGUAGCAGUGAAAUGCGUAGAUAUGCGGAGGAACACCGAUGGCGAAGGCAAUCCCCUGGGCCUGUACUGACGCUCAUGCACGAAAGCGUGGGGAGCAAACAGGAUUAGAUACCCUGGUAGUCCAA
rnacentral:rRNA from 1 species